GACGAACGCUGGCGGCGUGCUUAACACAUGCAAGUCGAACGAUGAUGCCAGCUUGCUGGUGGAUUAGUGGCGAACGGGUGAGUAACACGUGAGCAACCUGCCCCUGACUUCGGGAUAACCGCGGGAAACCGUGGCUAAUACCGGAUAUGACGCGCUAUCGCAUGGUGGUGGGUGGAAAGAUUUAUCGGUUGGGGAUGGGCUCGCGGCCUAUCAGCUUGUUGGUGGGGUGAUGGCCUACCAAGGCGACGACGGGUAGCCGGCCUGAGAGGGUGACCGGCCACGCUGGGACUGAGACACGGACCAGACUCCUACGGGAGGCAGCAGUGGGGAAUAUUGCACAAUGGGCGCAAGCCUGAUGCAGCGACGCCGCGUGAGGGAUGACGGCCUUCGGGUUGUAAACCUCUUUCAGUAGGGAAGAAGGCCUUCGGGUUGACGGUACCUGCAGAAGAAGCGCCGGCUAACUACGUG
rnacentral:rRNA from 1 species